rnacentral:rRNA from 1 species
GGCGUAAAGGGUGCGUAGGCGGCUAUUCAAGCCAGAGGUGGAAGCCUGGAGCUCAACUCCAGAACUGCCUUUGGAACUGUAUAGCUAGAGUGUCGGAGGGGAUAGCGGAAUUUCUAAUGUAGCGGUGAAAUGCGUAGAUAUUAGAAGGAACACCGGUGGCGAAGGCGGCUAUCUGGACGACAACUGACGCUGAGGCACGAAAGCGUGGGGAUCAAACAGGAUUAGAUACCCUGGUAGUCCACGCUGUAAACGAUGGAUGCUAGCCGUCGGGGGGUUACCUCUCGGUGGCGCAGCUAACGCGUUAAGCAUCCCGCCUGGGGAGUACGGUCGCAAGAUUAAAACUCA